rnacentral:rRNA from 1 species
CCCAGUCACGAAGGAUGCCUUGGCUCUCAGAGGCGAAGAAGGACGUGUUAAGCUGCGAUAAGCCCCGGGGAACUGCCUAAAAAGUUUCGAUCCGGAGAUUUCCGAAUGGGGCAACCUGCCUGUUUUAACAGGCUUAGAGCAAACCCGCUGAACUGAAACAUCUAAGUAAGCGGAGGAAGAGAAAACAAUAGUGAUUUCCCAAGUAGUGGCGAGCGAACGGGAAUUAGCCCAAACCGACAUGGUUACGGCCAUGUCGGGGUUGUAGGACUGCAACGUGUAUAUAAAAACGAAUCAGAAGCUUUCUGGAAAGUUAUGCCAUAGAGGGUGAUAGCCCCGUAUGAGUAAGGUUUUAUAUGCUAGCAGUAUCCUGAGUACCGCGGGGUCGGAGACGCCUUGCGGGAAGCUGCCAGCACCAUCUGGUAAGGCUAAAUACUCCUGAGAGACCGAUAGUGAACUAGUACUGUGAAGGAAAGGUGAAAAGUAUCCCGAAAAGGGAGGUGAAAAGAACCUGAAAUCGUGCGCCUACAAGCGGUCGGAGUCCCCUAGUGGGAUGACGGCGUGCCUUUUGCAUAAUGAGCCUACGAGUUACUCCUCACUGGCAAGGUUAAUUCCGUGUACGGAAGCAGCCGAAGCGAAAGCGAGUCUUAACAGGGCGUAUAGUCAGUGGGGGUAGACGCGAAACUUUGUGAUCUACCCUUGACCAGGAUGAAGUCACGGUAACACGUGAUGGAGGUCCGAACCGGUAAACGUUGAAAAGUUUUCGGAUGAGUUGAGGGUAGGGGUGAAAGGCUAAUCAAACUGAGAGAUAGCUCGUACUCUCCGAAAUGUUUUUAGGAACAGCCUCAGAAUUAGUGUAACAGAGGUAGAGCUACCAAUUGGGUGAGGGGGUGUCAAAGCCUACCGAGCUCAGAUAAACUCCGAAUGCUGUUACAUAUAUCUGGGAGUGAGGGCAUGGGUGCUAAGGUCCAUGCCCGAGAGGGAAAGAACCCAGACCAACAGCUAAGGUCCCAAAAUGUAUACUAAGUUGAUCAAAUGUGGUCCAGUUGCAUAGACAGCCAGGAUGUUUGCUUGGAAGCAGCAAUUCAUUUAAAGAGUGCGUAACAGCUCACUGGUCGAGCGACAGGGCACAGAUAAUAAACGGGCAUUAAGUAUACUACCGAAGCUUUGGAUUUCCAGCAAUGGAAGUGGUAGGAGAGCAUUCCAGCAGCGCUGAAGGUGAAUCGCAAGGUUUGCUGGAGCAGCUGGAAAAGCAAAUGUAGGCAUAAGUAACGAUAAUGAAAGUGAAAAACUUUCACUCCGAUAGUCUAAGGUUUCCUGAUCAACGUUAAUCGGAUCAGGGUUAGUCGGGACCUAAGGCGAACCGUAAUAGGGUAGUCGAUGGACAACAGGUUAAUAUUCCUGUACUGGCUGAGAGGGACGGAGAAAUGUAGUGGCUGCGUGCUGACGGAAUAGCACGCUGAGCCUAGCCCUCGGGCGAAGCGAAGUCAUGAACUUUCUUCCAAGAAAAGCUCCAGCAUAAACCCGUACCGUAAACCGACACAGGUGGACAAGGAGAGUAUCCUGAGGAGCUCGAGUGAAUCAUGGUUAAGGAACUAGGCAAAUUGACCCUGUAACUUCGGGAUAAGGGGUGCCCCGCGCAAGCGGGGCCGCAGUGAAAAGGUCCAGGCGACUGUUUAUCAAAAACACAAGGCUCUGCUAAAUCGAAAGAUGAUGUAUAGGGUCUGACACCUGCCCGGUGCCGGAAGGUUAAGAGGGGGGCUUAGCAGCAAUGCGAAGGUCUGAAUCGAAGCCCCGGUAAACGGCGGCCGUAACUAUAACGGUCCUAAGGUAGCGAAAUUCCUUGUCGGGUAAGUUCCGACCUGCACGAAUGGUGUAACGAUCUGGGCGCUGUCUCAACCAUGAGCUCGGUGAAAUUGUAGUCUCGGUGAAGAUGCCGAGUACCCGCAACGGGACGGAAAGACCCCGUGCACCUUUACUAUAGCUUUGCAUUGAGUUUGGGUUAUUGCCGUGUAUCGUGACUGGGA